UAAAACCAAGUGCAUGGGUCAUUGGCAUA
rnacentral:piRNA from 1 species